GAGAAAUAGUUUUGGUGAGUAUUUUCUAUCCGACCAGUGGCUUCUAUCCGAACAGUGGAAGCUGGACAGCCACGGCUGACUGUUGUUCUGUUGGCGGGCCAGCGCCGCCUCCCACCGGCCACCAUACGAUGACGGCCGCCGGAGACCGAGCACCGGUACCACCGGACAAAAAGUGGAAUCGGCAAGGCCGGGCUAGCGACUGUCUGCAGAUCGGCAGAGAAGAGCUGAGCUGCACCUACGCUGCAGGGCAACUACCGACUGCAGUGGCUUUACCUGUUUUUGUGUGACCAGCGAGGAAUAAAACGGGCGCGAGACGGAGCAGCGAGACACUCCUCACACAGUCCACACCACGUUCGACAACACCCACUCUGCAACACUCCACUCAACAUGCACAAGUAAGUACCUACGUAAGAAUGACUCAGACCGGACGGUCUGCCCCAGCCAGCUCUCUUGGAGCUGUGCUGUGGGGACAAGGUGACGUGACGUCUUCUAGGAAGUCCGUUUAACUUGCCGAACUAUUCGGUAUAUGGUUGAACUGUUUGUUUUGUCUUUCGGCUAACCAUUCGGUUAUCUCUUUCGGCCUUUUUUUUGGUGACCGUUGACCGCCGUUGUCCGGUCUCACUGCGCUGUUUGUGUUUCAGCCUGCCCGCCAUCAUGACGCUGACCAGGGAGCCGAUUGGCUCGGCUUGGCGGCAGCAGGCUGUUCUUUCGACACUCUUCCGUCUUCUUCGAUAUCAGCCUGUGCUAAUGCAACGGCUAUUCGUGCAGGACUGAUUUUCGGCCUUGUCUCGUUUAAUGACUCGAUCGCUUCCUUUUGACAUUUUGGUUUCGACCUCAUCUUUUGGCUCAUUUCAAUAUAUCUACUUUUAACUCAUGUUCACGUCUGUAUGGUGGAUGGUGUUGGGAACGAAGGAGGGAAAGGAACCAGAAACACACAUAUAUCGAUCGCGUUUUCAUCAGUAAUACCCCUAGACAGCAUAUAGAGUAAAAGAUUGAAGAAUAUAAUCCCCUAGACAACAGAUAAAUAAUCAGGAUGCAAUGUAGGCUAUACAAAGGGACCAACUUCAAAUUACAUUGGGGGCUCGUCCGGGAUCUCAAACUCUGUUCUGCUCGAACAGGACCCUGAUUAUAUAUGCUUCUGAUUCAUUGCAUGUUCUUGCUUGUAAAGUUUUCAGGUUCUUUGUUGUUCCAGAAUGAUUCGUCGUUGGUGUAACUUGCUGCUCGUGGUUCGUAAACUUUCCGUUUCACCGUGUUCGUGAAUUGACUGGUCACAAUUUGUGUAUUUCCAGUUGCCUUUAUUUGAUGGUGAAUGGCUCGAGUUCCAGACUCUACUAGGUUCGUCAGGCCAAUUGUUGGUCCGCAUGCUGCAUGGACAACCUACAUUGGACGCACCGUCGAGGUCGCCAUCUCUUGAAGUUCAUUUGAUUCAGGUUAGUCUUGCUUGCUUCUGUGGGUCUACUUACUUUGCCUUCUGGGUAUACGCUAUUCGGUCGUAUGCCUCGCAAAUUAAUUCGUUCGCAUCGUUGGCAUGACAGCAAAUGGCUACCUAACUUCAUAGGAGGUAUAAAUGAAUGUCCUAAUAUGCGCCAUUGAUUACAUCCAUUCGAUUCCUUAGACUUGAAAAUAUGUUUGGAUGAUACAGGACUUGGUAUUCUUGAACUUUAUUAAGAAGUUGCCCGUAUAAGGUGCUCAUAUAAUGCCGACUUGGUGUUGUUGAGCUGGUCCGUAGGUUUGAUCUGAUAACUUCGACUUGGUGUUAUUGAGAUUUGUCUUGACCUUUAAUGCUCAGAUGUUACUGACUUGGCUUUAGGGAGCUAACACUGACUUCGUUGCCAUGACACGUUCUGAUGAUACCGACUUGGUGUCAUUGAACUUUGGGGUAGUUGCCAUAGGACGUCAGUGACCAGGUGCAUGGCAGCACAGUGGUCAGCUAGCGUAUUCGGGGCAAUAACCAUCCACAGAUAAAACAUCGCGAGUUCGAUCAUCUGAUCGCCAAACCGGAUAUGCGAUUUGAUCAGUGUUUUCAAGAUCGCUGAAGUAUCCCAUGAUCAAGGUUUCCGGAGUUCAGAGGUCCGUUGACAUAACCUUACAUGGCCCUGACACAGUCCGAAGUGUCAUUGUGACUGAGUGGAUUGAUGCCUCGCUGACAUGAUUAGUUAUUCUUUUGUGGUUUUACUUGUUGUUUGGGUUUUAAUUAUUGUUUCAUGGAGUUGUUUCAUGGCUGAGUUGUUGACAAGGUUCAGUGGAACAAAAUCGGUUCAAUGUUUCACAGUUUGAGAUGUCAUUUAUUUGUGAGAGUACAACGUCGUUUACAUCUAUUCAGUUCUUACACAGGAAUUUCAACAUUUCAGAGCAUGUGGCAGGUUUCCGGCAAGUCGAAUUCGGGUGAAGUAAUUCUCUCUGUGUUAGACACUUUGCCCUAGUUGAUAGGUAAAUUUCGUAUUAAUUAGUCAUUAUUGGUUAACAUUGGAUGGCAAUAUACCUUUGCUUCGGUUCAAACAGACAGUCAUCUCAUCAGUCAGUUGAGGGUUGUGAUUUGUGAAGAUAAUCCCAGUCAACAUUGGUGAUACUCCCGUCCAGUUGGGAAGUAUUUGACAGAAUGAUAAACGCAUCUGUUAUUUGGCGGGUGAUGUGCUGGGCCAGAAAUGUGGUUUCCGUUUAUUGAGUAGGUCGUGCCGUCUGCCUACGUCCCUGAGAGAAGGGCGAGUGCUAGGUAGGACGUGCAGCCUACAGACGUCUCUUGGAGGAGGACGUCACCGGACCGUCUGCUCGCGUGGAGCAGGACGGCAGUCGCUGCCCGGACGCGUAGGAGCUGAGGAGAACUGGUGAUAGGGCCUGCCCCACCUAUCUACCAGAGUUGAGCAGCAUGGCAGAGGGUGGUCCUCUGGGGGUCCAUGCCCACCGAACAUACACCGGCCGGGUAUGGGUGGAAUUCUCGGUCAGCUUACGCUCUAGGCAUAAGGGCUGGGCGUGCAGUGACGGGAGCAGCAGGUCACUGGCACAAGCGACAAUCCAUGCUGAGGAGGUGUUCCUAGUAUGUGAAAAACGGAACCAUUUGAGCGUGUAAGGCGGCAAACCCCACCGCAAAUACACUGCUACCGGAGUAUAAAGAGUCGAACACUCCGGCGACUACAAGAGAGAGGCCAGCAGCAAACCCGACUAACAGCUUAUAUGUUUCAGAAGGUGACGUCGAUAGGAAAGGUGUCUUAUUGGGUGAUGACGACUCGAUUGCUCGAAUUUGUUGCACAGGUGCUGCAGGUACAGCAAACCUGACCAGAAGCUUUAUUGUUUCAGAAGAUGACAUCGAUAGGAAAGGUGUCUUAGGAUGAUGACUCGGUUGCUUUGCUUCAUUUGCACAGGUGUUGCAGAAGCAGCAAAACCGAUCGACAGUUUACUUGUUUCAGAAGUUGACUGCAGCGUCGAUAAGAAAGGUGACUCGUUUGCUGUGCUUCGUUGCACAGAUGUUGCAGAAACAGCAAACCCGACAAACGGCUGAUAUGUGAGUACACUUCAGGUGACUGCAGAGGGAAAGACAGUGGUUAAGGGGGAAAGUGGUUUUCGUCUCGUUUUAUCUCCAUUCCAUGGCAGGAGGUAAGACGACUCGAAUCCUUGCUUAGUUGCACUUCGCAAGUCAUAGCAAGUGCAGAACUCUUCAGGAGCCCAGUCCAUGGCUCAUCUUAAAGGUGGAAGAUAUACUUAUACGCUUCAUGUCCUUAUUCAUCGAAAAUGAAUGCGUGGGUCUUGCGGUCGAGAUACCGUGGCAAAGACAAAUAAUAAUUCGGCCCAACAGCAGUCACAACGUGAGCUGACUGAAGCCGAAAGGUUUCGAUUUCAGCGCAGACACCACACCGAGUGGAGGUCCUGAUGGAUUUAUCCGACCCUGUAUGGAGCGCCACCGACUCGUGAGUGACCAGCGACGGUGAUGUCGGGUCACGAACAAAGUAAGGACAACCUUUGAGAUCGAAAGAUCAAAAGCCAACGGGCAUGUGCUCACUUGUUAAAGUAAAGCAGAUGAGUUUGCUACAAUCUACUUCAGAGUAUGCAUGAAGGUCGUGACAAGGGUCAGUUGGUGCUUGAGGUACAAGUUAUGGUGGAGCAACAAUCCUGUGCAUUGCCUUGAAUCUAGAUCCAGCGACAAUCAAUGGAUCUGUGCAGACCAAAGAUGCGCGGGCAUAGAACCGGCAUAGUCAUAGGACAAAUUGCUCGUGUGAUACGAUGCUUGCGUCGUCUGGUGCCUCUCAAUGUCCUCAAGUCAUUGGCGCCAGCAGCAGAGCGAGUCCUACACAGGUAUCUGAGAUACCAGAAGGUCUACAGGCACAACGAACCUCUCGGCAUGACAGAUUGACUUCAACCCUAACACCUCACCCGAGCCCUUAGGUCCCACGUCUCGAUGCUGACUGCUGCCAGAAGUCUGAGCCGCAUCCUUCUGUUAUGACAGAGGCAAACGAUCACUCGCCCUUUGACUGUAACUUAUCUUCCUCCAUGCGUGGCAAUUCAGAGCAGACGGAUGGACACAUCACGCUAACGCUCGGGAAUUUUAAAGUCCAAGCCCGCAUUGGGAAUUGUUAACAUGAGUACCUUUCAUAUUACAUGGCGUGUUCCUCUGCUAAUCCUUUUCGGUUAACCCCGAUAUUCCUUAUCCUUGAAACUGUCACAGGUCAGUAGCAAGAAGAUGUGGUUCCCAGAAUAGCAUAAAUGUAAAUAUGCUUUGGUUGCUUUACCAGUAUUUGGCAUCAAGCAGCAGUACCAAUUUGCAGUGCUUGGGUUAUUGAAGCCAUACGAUCUGAUGAAGUUAUGAUCAAUUAAGAUUCAAGCUACUUAGUACUUUGUAUUUUGUACUAAAGUCAUAUUUUUAGGAAGAUACAAAACGGUUUAAGACAGAGGGUUUGUCGCAUUUGACUUAUCAACGAGUCAAACUCAAUUUAGACUGUGAACCAUCUAACUAUUACGUAUGUGUACCCGUUCAUCCCCAAAGGUUACAGUUCUUCGUUCGCUAUAAAAAUGGAAGGGAUGUGAGAAAUAGUUUUGGUGAGUAUUUUCUAUCCGACCAGUGGCUUCUAUCCGAACAGUGGAAGCUGGACAGCCACGGCUGACUGUUGUUCUGUUGGCGGGCCAGCGCCGCCUCCCACCGGCCACCAUACGAUGACGGCCGCCGGAGACCGAGCACCGGUACCACCGGACAAAAAGUGGAAUCGGCAAGGCCGGGCUAGCGACUGUCUGCAGAUCGGCAGAGAAGAGCUGAGCUGCACCUACGCUGCAGGGCAACUACCGACUGCAGUGGCUUUACCUGUUUUUGUGUGACCAGCGAGGAAUAAAACGGGCGCGAGACGGAGCAGCGAGACACUCCUCACACAGUCCACACCACGUUCGACAACACCCACUCUGCAACACUCCACUCAACAUGCACAAGUAAGUACCUACGUAAGAAUGACUCAGACCGGACGGUCUGCCCCAGCCAGCUCUCUUGGAGCUGUGCUGUGGGGACAAGGUGACGUGACGUCUUCUAGGAAGUCCGUUUAACUUGCCGAACUAUUCGGUAUAUGGUUGAACUGUUUGUUUUGUCUUUCGGCUAACCAUUCGGUUAUCUCUUUCGGCCUUUUUUUUGGUGACCGUUGACCGCCGUUGUCCGGUCUCACUGCGCUGUUUGUGUUUCAGCCUGCCCGCCAUCAUGACGCUGACCAGGGAGCCGAUUGGCUCGGCUUGGCGGCAGCAGGCUGUUCUUUCGACACUCUUCCGUCUUCUUCGAUAUCAGCCUGUGCUAAUGCAACGGCUAUUCGUGCAGGACUGAUUUUCGGCCUUGUCUCGUUUAAUGACUCGAUCGCUUCCUUUUGACAUUUUGGUUUCGACCUCAUCUUUUGGCUCAUUUCAAUAUAUCUACUUUUAACUCA